CAUGNACUAUUCCAAGCCUAAUUUCCCCAAGGUCAACCNUUCNUACUAANAUNUCGCACCCAGGUGACNANCGNCGGACNGNUNANUNAUGUCUGGGAAACUGCCUGAUGGAGGGGGAUAACUACUGGAAACGGUAGCUAAUACCGCAUAACGUCGCAUGACCAAAGUGGGGGACCUUCGGGCCUCAUGCCAUCAGAUGUGCCCAGAUGGGAUUAGCUAGUAGGUGGGGUAACGGCUCACCUAGGCGACGAUCCCUAGCUGGUCUGAGAGGAUGACCAGCCACACUGGAACUGAGACACGGUCCAGACUCCUACGGGAGGCAGCAGUGGGGAAUAUUGCACAAUGGGCGCAAGCCUGAUGCAGCCAUGCCGCGUGUAUGAAGAAGGCCUUCGGGUUGUAAAGCACUUUCAGCGGGGAGGAAGGCGAUAAGGUUAAUAACCUUGUCGAUUGACGUUACCCGCAGAAAGAAGCACCGGCUAACUCCGUGCCAGCAGCCGCGGUAAUACAG
rnacentral:rRNA from 1 species